GAUCCUACGUCGGAGUCUCACAUGGAAUACCUCGGGGUAGAGGCAUGAAUUGGUGGGGAGGUGUUGCAGUCUGAGACAGUGCUGCAAUAAGUUCUUGCUAAUUCUAGUCAACCUCACUUCAAUUAAAAUAAAAGUUCAUGUUAAAUAUGGAAAAAGUUAAUACAAAUUAAACAGGAACAUUGAGACAUUAACUAGUGACCCAAAGUCUGAGACACUUCCUUAAUUUCAUUAUUUGAUGGCAAGUAUCAGGAAUUGCACUGAGAUAGAUAUAUAAAACCAUAAGGAAUAAGGCCAGGCAAGGUGGACACAACAGGGUCAAACCAAGAGUCAUAAAUGCUAAUUUCCAUCUCAUUCAUUCAAUUGGCUUUGUGAAGAGCUCUUACAAAAACCUUUAUUGAACACAGAGGGAUGAUAAAAUUUGUUAAUCUCAAAUCAAACCAAACAGGAAAGAAGCCCUUUAACUAAUUGGAGGUGUGUCUGAUACAACUAUGACACACAUGAUUACAUUGACUUAAUUUUCUAAAAUUAUUAAUCGUGUAAGUGAGAUUCAAAAAGGAUUUCUCAAAUGCUACUCAAUUCUAUAACAAUAUAAAUGAAUAGAAACUUAGCUCAAAAUGAAUAAAGUGUUAUGGCUUUAAGAGAAUAGAAAACUCAGAUUACAAAGAACCUUUUUUUUUACUCAUUACAUAAGAACCUUGUUUUUUACUCAAUUACAUAAGAAUCUUAUAACAAUUAUAAUAAAAUAACUUUAACUGGCGGUCCUUAACUGAUAACCUUAACCAUGGAAGCAAUACACAAACAAGAAGUCAUAGACUAAAUAUAACUAACUGUGAUCAUGACAUAAUUAUCAAUAGUUAUAUAUAGUUAACAAAUUUGUUGAUUAACAAACAAAUCAGAGAUAAAACCUUCAGUUAUCAAAGCACCAUGGUAAAACUAUACAAUUUCACAUGUAAAAAUAUAAGUAAUUUGCAAAGACUAACCUUGCAACCUAUUUUACCUAACAACGACACAACUGCUCGGCCAAUACGGAGGCUUCAGUUUCUCUUACAAUCCAUGCUUCCACUUUCCGAGCUACUCCUAUUCCCGCUUUCAAAAUCAAAGUGCUCUCACGCCUAAAGAUAUGGGUUGUUUUCAAAUUAGCAAACUAGAAAGAAAUUUAUGAAAAAUAUUGUCUGGAAAACAAAAAGUGAACAUUGCAUACCUGUGGAUCUAAACGAAGUAUUCGAACUGCAGCGCGAACGGCGAGCAUAUUCGGAUCUGAAUAUAAUUUUUCUCUUACAAAUAUAAUUUCAGAUCUGACCAAGACUUUACCGCUAUUGGUGACAGCGAAAUUAGGGAUUUAGAUCUCCAGGAUACCAAUUCAUGAGUAAGAAGGAAUGUUCUUGAAGAUGGAAAGAAUUUUGAUGAUUUCAGUGGAGAGGUGGAAGAGGAAUUAGGGUUCGAUGGUAAGAAAGGAAAGAGGAAAACUUAAUUUUGCUUUUGAUGAUUAUUAAUUUAUUAAUUUAUAUUAUGAUAUGAUAUGAUGCUUAUAAAAUAAAAAAAGACAUAAAACUUAGCUUCGGCCAU
rnacentral:lncRNA from 1 species